AUCAAGAUGUCUGACUAGAGGCAUUCAAAACUAGCCUCUUCCACGAUGUACAACUGAAACAACAAAUAGAUAAUAACUACAUGACAAAUAAUGUAUCUAAGAGAGAAACUGGAAUUCAGCAAGGAAGUGAUGAAGACCCUUUGAUGCACAGAAACUCAGGAUGGCAGUGCAGAGAAAGAGGGGAGUGGGACUGGUGGUUUUCCAAGAAGACGAAGAGAGACCUGAGAUAGCACACCCAGCCCCCUUGCCAUGUGAGGCCAUG
rnacentral:lncRNA from 1 species